CAGCGGAGCCUGGAGAGAAGG
rnacentral:miRNA from 1 species